UAUCGUCACCUAACUGAACAAACCAGUGCUGUACCAACGGAUCCUUCUCAACGCAAACGUUACCGUGAUCGGGUUAGGUAUAUGCAGAUGACGCCACAACAGAGAGAAGCUUAUUUGAAAAGGAAUCGUGAGUACAAACGAAUCAAGCGAGGUGACAGUGCAAUUAGUAAGACUGUGCAACCCGUAAGAGGGGAGACCAGUAUGAGUACCAAUGAUAACACACACUUGCCAACUGAAUCUUCUACGACGCCAGAAGGGAAAGAAGUAGCCGUGACUAUGUUACAAGAACAAGAAAGCCUUCCAUUUUCAGGUUCUAUGACACACAGUUCAGGGGUCCAUCAAAGUAGGUGUCUGACAAAAAGGAAACGAGUGACAACAGUCGAUAGUUAUGAUGUGUCUGCAUCUGACCAAAGCGUCCUUGUUCAGCCAAACAUGUGCCACCCAAAAAAGGGUACUCGGCUGAAGAUCAGUCCAUCUGGAAUUUCUGUAUCUCCUAUUGCUUCGG